AUACGUAGGGCGCAAGCGUUGUCCGGAAUUAUUGGGCGUAAAGAGCUUGUAGGCGGUUUGUCGCGUCUGCCGUGAAAUUUCGGGGCUCAACCCCGAACUUGCGGUGGGUACGGGCAGACUAGAGUGUGGUAGGGGAGACUGGAAUUCCUGGUGUAGCGGUGAAAUGCGCAGAUAUCAGGAGGAACACCGAUGGCGAAGGCAGGUCUCUGGGCCACUACUGACGCUGAGAAGCGAAAGCGUGGGGAGCGAACAGG
rnacentral:rRNA from 1 species